UCAAAACAAAAUAGAUUCGUGUGGCUGCCGCGUAGUCUAAAACCCGAAAAAAGAAGAAAGAAGACUGCUUGCCGCUACAAACAUCCAUACGUCGAGCUUUGUGAAGGCUAACAAGUUCGACCUAGACACAGGCGGAAGUGCCAGAUUCAACCAAAGCUAUGAAUCACAAAACUAGAAAUAGCAGGAAGAUGAAACUCCAAAUCGACCUAAGUAACAAGCAGUGCAUACGUCAAGAGAAUGUAGUACUGAUACAUUCACCCUAAGCAGUCAUCAACGUCAAACUUCAGUAACCCAACAUAAUUAGCAGAAGAGCAUAAAACUAAGGAUAGCAUGAUGUUGACUUUUCAUCAACAAAAGUACUGCAUCGGAUGACGCACAAGAUAAAAAUAAUAUAACAAAAUUGAACAAGCAAUAAGAAAAGGAUCCAAGGAAUACAUACUACUACUACUGUCACUACAAAAAAGAGAAGAAGAAGAAGGAGAAGAAUGAUUAAGUAAUUAAAACAGAGUUUGUGCUGAAUGCAGGGCAGAAUUGGGGAGCACCUUCCCCAAUAGGUUAUAAAAUGAUUGUCCUUAUGCUGAGAAAGUCUUUCUUAGAUGUGCAAAACCUCUCAGUUUAGGAAGCAUAGAAAACAUUUUCCCAUUCAUCGAAGUUAUUUUUUUAAUCUAUACACCGGGAGCGACGCAACUGAAGGGCGAUCGGGGCGAAGGGAGAACACAAACACGUUGCAAAACACAUGGGGUUUAUUACCCAAUAGACGGAGGGUAGCAAAUUUGUCAGUUGUUAAAUUGUUAACCUGAAACACCCAGAAACAUAUGCACCACCGUCUCCGCUGUCUGGUCUUGCGCAAACACACGGCAAGACCUGUUACCGCACCUCAUUACCACUGCCGUGAACUCAGCACGUCACUGCGGCUCUUUGCCUCAUGAUAACAUAACAGCCAAGGUCUGAGUUGAGAGAAAGCUGAAGUGAGCACACCUUACUUCUCUGGAUCUUGACAACAACAAUGGGAAACAAACCACUGCGUAGCCGUUUUACACAUCCAUGCCAACAAUGUCUAUAGAAGUACUUGUAUAGACCUUGCAUGCCACCACUUUGACCAGAGAAGUUCCACGAAAACACAAACUGUGUCAAAACAACACCUCUGCAAAAACGGCCGCACGUGCACAUCUGUAUUCAAUUCUGCCAGCUUCGGCCUCAUACAAGGUGUCCACGAAUGAAUUUUGGCUGGCAAAAUCAACAUUUCUCAAGCGGUAUUUUUCUUCGAUAUGUGAAAGAGAAAUAAAAUUGUCUACCAGAA